UACCUACCUUCUCUCAGCAGUUUUCAGCAUUGCCUGCAUUCUUUCUUCUAUUGUUGCUUUAAUUAAGAAUCUGUGUACAAUAGUAGGUCUAAAAGGUACAGAAGAAUUUUAAGCUUAAAAGGGAUGUCCUCCUCCUGGUUUGCUUUCUCUGAGGUAAAGACAUACGAGAUUUCUUUGUGAGAUGUGGUCUGGCGGCAGAUUGCACACUUAAUGGAGCUUCUGUGAGAUCCCACGCUGUAUUGUUCAAUAAUUAUAGAAAUGCAUUCAUUACAGAAACAGUGACCACAGGUCAGUACCGCCCACUACCUACCAGUUGAGAGGAAGUCUGGCUGGUCGGAGGUGACAGACUGUUGCAGACUCAAUAACAUUACGAGAUGGAGGUCCCUCCAGGUUUUUUACAGCCUCUCUUACUAGCUUCUGGCAUUUAUUUAGCUCUUCCAUUUGUGUUGUAAGUAAGAACUGAAGACCUCUGCAAUCACGGAACCUGAUUCCCAC
rnacentral:lncRNA from 1 species